UUUGUCAAAUAAUUUUUAUUUUUUAAGGUUAUGAUGUUGUAAAACAUAAACCGUCUUUGUAAUAAAUAAUCAUUGAAGAUACAAGACGUUGGUUUUUUUUACUAAGACUAAACUGCUGAAAACAAAAAGACAGCACUGAAGAAUGGGUUGGAAGAUGGAAGUUGGUAAAAUGAUGCUUUACAUGGCUUUCCCAUUAGCUACUUUUCACUACUUCAACCAGCCUCAAUUUUAUGAAGAAUGGGUUGUGAAAACUAAAAGAGAACUUUAUCCUCCUGAGUCGGAAGAAGUUAACGAAAAGAUUAGAGCACAAUUACUCGAACUAAGGCGUGAGCGAGAACUCAUUGAACUCAAAAAGAAGGAGGCCCAACUAAAGUAAAUCGAAUGGUUUGUGUUUUAGUGUGAAGACUUGUGACUCUUUUGUACAUAAUAAUGAAAUAAAUAAUUUAUAGUGAUAUUGUAUAGUAUGUUCUGAACAUGUGUAAUUAAAUUUGUAUUAUAUUA